GACGAACGCUGGCGGCGUGCCUAAUACAUGCAAGUAGAACGCUGAAGCGAGGAGCUUGCUCUUCUUGGAUGAGUUGCGAACGGGUGAGUAACGCGUAGGUAACCUGCCUUGUAGCGGGGGAUAACUAUUGGAAACGAUAGCUAAUACCGCAUAACAAUGGAUGACCCAUGUCAUUUAUUUGAAAGGGGCAAAUGCUCCACUACAAGAUGGACCUGCGUUGUAUUAGCUAGUAGGUGAGGUAACGGCUCACCUAGGCGACGAUACAUAGCCGACCUGAGAGGGUGAUCGGCCACACUGGGACUGAGACACGGCCCAGACUCCUACGGGAGGCAGCAGUAGGGAAUCAUCGGCAAUGGGGGCAACGCUGACCGAGCAACGCCGCGUGAGUGAAGAAGGUUUUCGGAUCGUAAAGCUCUGUUGUAAGUCAAGAACGAGUGUGAGAGUGGAAAGUUCACACUGUGACGGUAGCUUACCAGAAAGGGACGGCUAACUACGUG
rnacentral:rRNA from 1 species